CACACAGACACACACAUACAAACUGGACACACACACUGGACACACACACACUGUACACACACAUUCACACUGGACACACACAUACACUGGAUCCCAGGUUCUAGAACAGCUUCUAUCCCAGUUCUAUCUGCCUGUUAAAUCAGUUUCUGGACCACAGGUUCUAGAACAGCUUCUAUCCCAGUUCUAUCUGCCUGUUAAAUCAGUUUCUGGACCACAGGUUCUAGAACAGCUUCUAUCCCAGUUCUAUCUGCCUGUUAAAUCAGUUUCUGGACCACAGGUUCUAGAACAGCUUCUAUCCCAGUUCUAUCUGCCUGUUAAAUCAGUUUCUGGACCACAGCUUCUAUCCCAGUUCUAUCUGCCUGUUAAAUCAGUUUCUGGACCACAGGUUCUAGAACAGCUUCUAUCCCAGUUCUAUCUGCCUGUUAAAUCAGUUUCUGGACCACAGGUUC